UCCGCACGGCGGGCAUUUACUCCCCCGGCUUCGAAUUUUCCGCCCUGGGAAGGUAGUCACAGAACAUGGCUUCGUUUCUUUGCUCCCUGUGAACCUGGGAAGAAGGAGAAGGCAGGAAUGCAGUUUGGGGGAACAGUGAAAAAGGAAGGGAGUUUGGGAAAGAUCUGCGGUCAUUCUUUUUCUGAUAUGCCAUAUGCUGAGGGAAAAAUAUUUUCUGCUUUUAAAGCUGAAUACUUCUCUUGUGCCCUGAGUGUGAUGUGCUCUUUAUAAAGCUCAGUAUGCUGUGCCGACAUCUACUUCAUAACGCACAGAAGUAGCACUUUGGGAAAUAGUUUGAAGGGAAAGCUGCUUAGGAUUAGCGUCUUUCUUUUGAGGAGGAGAUGCUGUUGGAGAUCAGUGCGGGGCAUAAAAGCAGUGACAUUAAAAAAAAAAAUCAUCCUUCCAAUUGGUGUAGAGGUAAUUUGGCCAUUUUCCAGGAGUGAGGGAAGCACAGAUAGGGAAGGUAGAGCUGGGCUGAAUGUGACUGGGCACUUGUGUCUGUUGGCUGCCAGAUGUUCAUAUUAGAAUCUCAUUCUCCCACACUGGGAGCAGGGCCUCAUCUUUGACGGUUCCAUUCAAAGGAAUGCCUUUAGGAUAUUUGAAGAUGCACCUAAUGCGUGUUUAUGAUGAUAAGUCCUUAGAGAAUUCCUGAGAAAGGGUGGUGGAGGAUUUGUCAUUCUUGCCUGUUGGCUAGAAGGGAUAGUUGCACUCUCUUGAGAUAGAAUUGCAAGGCAGUUGGAGUUGUCUGAAGCACAUGGAUUUUUGCUGCUGAAAAACCUGCAAAGGUUUGAUCUAGUCCCCUAGAGCAGAUAUUUGGAUAGAAUUGUUGUAAAUCAGGUUUAAGUAAUAAAGGAGAUUUUUCUAGCACAGAAAGCAAUGUGCCACGGGACUUGAAUACCAAAUACUUGGGUACAGAGUUGUAUAUGAGAGCAAAAGAAGAAAUGAGAGCCCAGUAUGGCCUGGUAGAAAGAAAUAGUUAGAAUUAUGUAAUUCCAGUUUAUUGUGAUUUGGGCUACUUAAGCCAUCUGAAGCCAUCAUGUGCUGUGGAAAAGGAAAAAAUUGAAAUAUGUCAUUCCAUCAUCUGUGACUUUCGUCAUUGCUGAAGAUUUCCUGAGGACUUGGAAGUAUUCUAUUUAUCAAAUUCAGCUCCCUCAUCAGACUUCAUAUUUAGCACAUAUUGAUUAUUCACGACCAAAUCAAUGUAAGUAUUGAUGAAGCAGGUAAGGUGAUAAUUUUACAAUUCCAUGUUUAUCAGUCAUCAACCAGCCCAAUGCAAGUGUCUUUUCCUCUCCAUCUGUCUCCAUUGGAGGCUUGUGAUUCUUAUUCUGGUCAGUGAAAUUU